AUUAGUAUGCAUAAACUGAGAGGCGUUUCUGUUAGUGAUAUAUCAUCCAAUCAAGCAUUUCUACUAGCAUCUUGAUUAUUGAUAGACCGUAUUUUAACAGUUCUAGUGUUAUGGUUUGGUUUCAGGAUUCGAAAAAGAAUAUGCAAUAUAACAUACUACAUACCUUUGUUGUACAUGCUAUGGCUAAUAUUCACUUGCAGAGUUCAAUUUUAGAACAUCCUGCUGGAAAAACAACCUAUUCUGAUUUUAGACUAUCCCUUUAAUUCAGACUCCAGUCACCAUUUUGCUACGCAAAUAUUUGUUUUAUCUACCCCUCCUUUGCAAGUUUGCAACAAUUUGCAAAAUAAAGAUAAGAGAGAUCCAUUAAUGCCAUUUCUUCAAAACCAUACAAUAUUUAUACACGCUUGUUUUUACAUAGAGUGAUACAUAUACCAAAAUUUUGCAUCCAUUGCCGCAGCUUGUAUGCUAAGAUCAGUUGUGGAGUGGAUUCGGUCCUCCUGGCACAACUUUCUUCGAAGCAGUGUAGGUGUGAGUAAUAUCAAUGUUCUUGUUGGUCAAAUCUUCAAAACUUGAACUACUGCUUAAGUGCUGCAAUUCUGAGGAAGGCAGAAAUGAUCGCGUCUGAUUAGCUGCUCUGAGAACCCGACAGCUGACAACUUGAGAGGUUACUAUGAUAAUGAAGAACAGAACCCGGAAAGCAGAUCUUUGUAGGCUCAUAAUUUUAGUAAUCCGUGAUGAAUAUAUAACCUCUUCCUGCAGAGUAAUAGAGAUGAGGAAAUAGAAGUUUUCAGAUUGUUUGUCUAUGAUUGCUAGAUGUUGGCUGGAACUUGGAAGAUUAUUUAAAGAAUAUAGACAACUAUAAUAAAGAACAUAAGGCCAAAACUUAACAAUAAUCCAUCAUCUGGCACCAAUAAUAUAUAACUACCCAAGCCAUAUUUAAUUAACGCCUCUUCACAAAGAUUUAAGGCAUCUAAUUAAGCAGUAGUAAACAGGCAAACUGGAGACAUGUGUCAAAUAGCAGAAAGAUUAUUUUCAGACCUUCUGUGCUGAUUGCCAGUAAUUCAAUUGUGGCUUAAUCAUAUCAUACCAUAUGGAUAACAUAAUCUUCUAUUAAGGAUCCAAUCCUAAUAUAAGUUAAAAUCCUAAUCUGAGUUGAUUUUAUAUUUGUGAUAAUUAAGGUGUCUUGUUUUGUGCUUAAGUGUGUAUCAGUAACACUUUAACAACAUAACGACAAGUACGUAAAUUAUAGAGUUGUGUAAGAAACACACAGGAGAUAGAGUUUCUGCAGCAAGGUGAUGUAAAUG
rnacentral:lncRNA from 1 species